UGUUGUGAAGGAAAUAAAGGACCUGGGAGUUAAAUGUAGCGCAUCUGGUUUUUGCAAAGAUUACUAAAUGGGUCGUUUGACUACAGGAAUGGUCGUUUGACUAGACAUACAUGGUUAGAGGACUCGUGCUCGACAAAAUAAGAGGAAAUAUACUGAAGGUCGUGUUUGUCAAAUACCAAACUGAAGUGUUUACUGUAGCAUAUUUUUAGUUAAUCACAUUUUUUUAUUUUAUUUUUUAUUUGUGUAUCGUUCUCUCUUCGAGAUGGACAGGUAAGUGUGGUGAAGUGUGGUGAAGGAAAUAAAGGUGCUGGGAGUUAAAUGUAACGCAGUUAGUUUUUGCAGAGAUUACUAAAUGGGUCGUUGACUACGGGAAUGGUCGUUUGACUAGACGUACAUGGUUAGAGGACUCGUGCUCGACAAAAAAGAGGAAAUAUACUGAAGGUAAGUGUGGUGAAGGAAAUAAAGGUGCUGGGAGUUAAACGUAGCGUAGUUGGUUUUUGCAGAGAUUACUAAAUGGGUCGUUUGACUCGACAUACAUGGUUAGAGGACUCGUGCUCGACAAAAAAAGAGGAAAUAUACUGAAGGUUCGUGUUUGUCAAAUACCAAACUGAAGUGUUUACACUAGCAUAUUUUUAGUUAAUUACAUUUUUUAUUUAAUUUUUUAUUUGUGUAUCGUUCUCUCUUUGAGAUGGACAUGUAAGUGUGGUGAAGUGUGGUGAAGGAAAUAAAGGUGCUUAAAAGUUAAACAUAGCGCAGUUGGAGUUUGCAAAGGACCCAAUAUUUAUGCGUACAAGAUGCAAAACCAUGUUCAUAUCUGAAUAUUUAUAAAAGAUGCUUCUUUUUCUCUUAAAUGUCUUUAAGUAAUUGGUUUAGUGUGCUUGACAUUGUAACUGAUUUUUGCUACUGGAUUUUUUAGAGAUUACUAAAUGGGUUGUUUGACUAGACGUACAUGGUUAGAGGACUCGUGCUCGAUAAAAAAAGAGGAAAUAUACUGAAGGUUCGUGUUUGUCAAAUACCAAACUGAAGUGUUUACAGUAGCAUAUUUUAAGUUAAUCACAUUUUUUUAUUUUAUUUUUUAUUUGUGUAUCGUUCUCUCUUCGAGAUGGACAGGUAAGUGUGGUGAAGGAAAUAAAGGUGCUUAGAAGUUAAACGUCGCGCAGUUGGAAUUUGCAAAGGACAUAAUAUUUAUGUGUACAUGAUGCAAAACCAUGUUCAUAUCUGAAUAUUUAUAAAAGAUGCCUAUUUUUCUCUUAAAUGUCUUUAAAUAAUUGGUCCAGUGUGCUUGACAUUGUAACUGAUUUUUGCGAAGAUUUCAAAGUGUUAGUUAACAUCUCAUUUAUAUUAAUUAUUUUAGGUACUGCGUGAAAGCGACAAUCACCAGUGCAAUGGCUACGUAUGUCGUUUUCAACGAAGGCAUGACUGCUAUGCUUAAGCAUCAAUUGCGAUGAUAUGAUGAUUAAACGUGGCCACACAGAUCCACAGAAAUUGCCACAUCGGAUGGCCUCCAAAUUAGAUAUACCCAGUUAGCACGCUAAUCGUUCGAAUUAGCGGAAGAUGUAACAUGGCUUCCAACAAAAUGACUUUAACAACUAUUAAAUAACAGACGCCCAGGAGUACACAUUUCUAGAGGUGAAGUUGCAAAUGGUAAAGACAACGAUGCAUAAACUUUAUGGAGGUUUUCUUCAACAAUUAACUUUUUAGUUCUUUCAUUUCAAUGUUUAUGUCAGCACCGAUAAAUAAUAUCAUUUACUUUGAGUAGCAUAUUUGAGGAAAACGAUUAAGGUGGUUUCAAGGUUCAUAAACCAAGGACAAGACUGUAGGGGCUGCCGGGGUCGGCUACAAGUGUCAGUGAAUUAUGGUUCGUGACAAUUUGGGGGUUUCGGUCCAAACGAGCAUGUGGAAAUCUAGCCAAGUGUGUAAACACUUGAGGGAACCUGAUUUGGAGUUCGGCGAAGGGCGCAUAUGGUGAAGUGACCAAUGAAAGUCAAAGUUAGUACUCUUCCAAAGUAAUAAAAUGUGUUUUUAUAGAAAAGCGUUAUUAAAAGAACUAGCGCUGUGGCAAAAGUUGCGCCACUCGAACAUAGUGCAACUUAUUAUUCUUAAACAGUCGGGCAUGGCUUGCGGACAGUAAUGGAUAAAGAUGGAAAGUAAGGGUCUAGGUGAUUCAAGUAUCACUGUUGGAGCCAAGAUGGUAUAUGUGGUGGAUUUUGUUGAUUGAUGUUCGGGGCACAUUAACUCGGGUUGAGUGCUCGGUAAGGCUUUCCACUUUGUUGAAGAACCCAAAGGUGAAGUUAAUACUUCAAUUAUUUAUGAAGAUAAGGAAUAUGUUUGUUCUAUUUUGUAAUUUUUUAAAGGAACAUGCAUCUUGGUUGAUCUAUCAGAUAGAAUGAAUUGCAUUCUGAACACUUUUGAUCCCAUAUAAAUUCUUUUAAUGGAAAAUUGAGAUUUUGGGU